AUUGAACGCUGGCGGCAUGCCUUACACAUGCAAGUCGAACGGCAGCACGGGUGCUUGCACCUGGUGGCGAGUGGCGAACGGGUGAGUAAUACAUCGGAACGUACCUUAUCGUGGGGGAUAACGCAGCGAAAGCUGUGCUAAUACCGCAUACGCCCUGAGGGGGAAAGCGGGGGAUCGCAAGACCUCGCGCGAUUAGAGCGGCCGAUGCCUGAUUAGCUUGUUGGCGGGGUAGAAGCCCACCAAGGCGACGAUCAGUAGCUGGUCUGACAGGAGGAUCAGCAACACUGGGACUGAGACACGGCCCAGCCUCCGACGGGAGGCAGCAGUGGGGAAUUUUGGACAAUGGGGGCAACCCUGAUCCAGCAAUGCCGCGUGAGUGAAGAAGGCCUUCAGGUUGUAAAGCUCUUUUGUCAGGGAAGAAACACCGGCUCUAACACAGUCCGGGAAUGACGGUACCUGAAGAAUAAGCACCGGCUAACUACGUGCCAGCAGCCGCCGUAA
rnacentral:rRNA from 1 species